ACGGGGUGCAGCAGGCGCGAAACCUUUACACUGCACGACAGUGCGAUAGGGGGACUCCGAGUGCGAGGGCAUAUAGCCCUCGCUUUUCUGAACCGUAAGGUGGUUCAGGAACAAGUGCUGGGCAAGACCGGUGCCAGCCGCCGCGGUAAUACCGGCAGCACGAGUGAUGGCCGAUAUUAUUGGGCCUAAAGCGUCCGUAGCUUGCUGUGUAAGUCCAUUGGGAAAUCGACGCGCUCAACGCGUCGGCGUCCGGUGGAAACUACACGGCUUGGGGCCGAGAGACUCGACGGGUACGUCCGGGGUAGGAGUGAAAUCCUGUAAUCCUGGACGGACCACCAAUGGGGAAACCACGUCGAGAGACCGGACCCGACAGUGAGGGACGAAAGCCAGGGUCUCGAACCGGAUUAGAUACCCGGGUAGUCCUGGCCGUAAACAAUGCUCGCUAGGUAUGUCACGCGCCAUGAGCACGUGAUGUGCCGUAGUGAAGACGAUAAGCGAGCCGCCUGGGAAGUACGUCCGCAAGGAUGAAACUUAAAGGAAUUGGCGGGGGAGCAC
rnacentral:rRNA from 1 species